rnacentral:rRNA from 1 species
CCUCCGGGAGGGGGGACCUAUGUCUUCUAACAUCUUCGUGUAGAAAGUCUUUGAAUGUUUACUAUCAUCGAGUCGCGACUUCUAGGAGACGCGAUUCUUUGAGAUAAAAGUUAUUACAACUUUCAGCAACGGAUCUCUUGGCUCUCGCAUCGAUGAAGAACGCAGCGAAAAGCGAUAUGUAAUGUGAAUUGCAGAUCUACAGUGAAUCAUCGAAUCUUUGAACGCACCUUGCGCUCCUCGGUGUUCCGAGGAGCAUGCCUGUUUGAGUGUCAGUAAAUUCUCAACCCCUCUCGAUUAGCUUYGAGAGGGYGCUUGGAUAGUGGAGGUUGCCGGAGACUUGGAUUCGUCCGAGACUCGGGCUCUUCUGAAAUGCAUCGGCUUGCGGUCGACUUUCGACUAUGUGCGACAAGGCUUUCGGCGUGAUAAUGAUCGCCGUUCGCUGAAGCGCAUGACUGAAYGUCCCGUGCCUCUAAURUGUCGACCGCUUAUUAUCUCUCCGGAGAGAACAGGGUCUUCCUUAUUGACUUUUGACCUCAAAUCAGGUAGGACUACCCGCUGAACUUAAGCAUAUCAAUAAGCGGAGGAAAAGAAACUAACAAGGAUUCCCCUAGUAACUGCGAGUGAAGAGGGAAAAGCUCAAAUUU